rfam:Mesocricetus auratus contig089737, whole genome shotgun sequence.
AUAUACACUCUAUUAUGUAUAAAUGUAUACACACUUCCUAUAUAUGUCCACACAUAUAUGGUGUAUAUAUUAUACAUGUAUAGGUCUGUGUGU